UACGGAGGAUCCAAGCGUUAUCCGGAUUUAUUGGGUUUAAAGGGUGCGUAGGCGGAUUUGUAAGUCCGUGGUGAAAUCUCCGAGCUUAACUCGGAAACUGCCAUGGAUACUAUAAGUCUUGAAUGUUGUGGAGGUUUGCGGAAUAUGUCAUGUAGCGGUGAAAUGCUUAGAUAUGACAUAGAACACCGAUUGCGAAGGCAGCAGGCUACACAAAUAUUGACGCUGAGGCACGAAAGCGUGGGGAUCAAACAGG
rnacentral:rRNA from 1 species